rnacentral:rRNA from 1 species
UGCCAGCCGCCGCGGUAAUACGAAAGGGGCUAGCGUUGUUCGGAAUUACUGGGCGUAAAGCGCGCGUAGGCGGGCUGUUAAGUCGGGGGUGAAAUCCCGGGGCUCAACCCCGGAACUGCCUUCGAUACUGGCAGCCUAGAGAUCUGGAGAGGCGAGUGGAAUUCCGAGUGUAGAGGUGAAAUUCGUAGAUAUUCGGAGGAACACCAGUGGCGAAGGCGGCUAACUGGCUCGGUACUGACGCUGAGAUGCGAAAGCGUGGGGAGCAAACAGGAUUAGAUA